GUGAGAACGGAGACGCCCACACAAGCCUGACAAUCUUCCGGUCUGCAGAGCCUUAAUGUACUUACGCCUGCAAAGCCCCUUUGCCUGUAAGGUGACCAGAGCCCAGAUUCUGAGGACUGGGAUACGUACAUCUUUCAGGCCACCUUUUGACGAUGGGGCUGUGCCCUGCCAGCUUCAGCCCUCUUCAUGUGGGUGAAACCACACCCAUGGGCUCCCCCAUGGAAAGCCCAACCACACAGCUCAGCAUGAGGAAGGAGGACAUGCAUGACAUUACAGGUUGUAAGGUUGGGAUUCACUGUGCACCCUUCUGCAGCAGAGGCCCCUCCCUGGGCAUCAAUUUCUCACCUGUUGCUUCAAGGGCUGGACCUCACUUGCCCACCCAUCGUUUGGGAAGAAAUCUUAGCCCCUGGUGGACGAGGCUGGAGAGGUGGUGAAGACAGGUGGGAAGAGCCAACCUGAAUGCAGGUGGCACCGUUUCAUGAGCUGGACCCUGAGCUGUAGAUGUGUGAAGAACACUGGCUGAGCAGCAGCGGCCAGCAAGCAAGGAUGCUGUGUUCAUCCUCUGGCUCUUGACCCGGGAUGUAUGCGGUACUUCAAGUUCCGGCCAGGACUUCCCUGCAGGAAUGGACUGUAACCUGGAAUCGCAAGCCAAACAAAUCCUUUCUUCCCUAAACUGCUUUUUG